ensembl:snRNA U1 U1 spliceosomal RNA
AUACUUACCUGGCAGGGGAGAUACCAUGAUCACGAAGGUGGUUUUCCCAGGGCGAGGCUUAUCCAUUGCACUCCGGAUGUGCUGACCCCUGUGAUUUCCCCAAAUGUGGGAAACUCGACUGCAUAAUUUGUGGUAGUGGGGGACUGCGUUCGCACUUUCCCCUG